rnacentral:rRNA from 1 species
GACGUAGGGCGCGAGCGUUGUCCGGAUUUAUUGGGCGUAAAGAGCUCGUAGGCGGCUUGUCGCGUCGACUGUGAAAACCCGAGGCUCAACUUCGGGCUUGCAGUCGAUACGGGCAGACUAGAGUUCGGUAGGGGAGUCUGGAAUUCCUGGUGUAGCGGUGAAAUGCGCAGAUAUCAGGAGGAACACCGGUGGCGAAGGCGGGACUCUGGGCCGAUACUGACGCUGAGGAGCGAAAGCGUGGGGAGCGAACAGG